rnacentral:tRNA from 1 species
CAGGGGGUAUUUUAUGUUUAAAAUAUUAGUUUUGGGGAUUAAUGAAAUGGUUUUUGCCUUUCCUCUGA